rnacentral:lncRNA from 1 species
UUGGAUGUGAGUCUAGUGCUCCUGGUCCCCAAAGUCACAACCCCUUCUAUCCCAGCAUCCCAGACUUCUCCGGGCGGGGACAGAGUUGGACGUGCACGGCUGUGUCCUGCAAUCCCCUCGCCACGACCGCCCGGGACGGAGUGGAAGCGGGUCCGUGCCCCCGUUCCUCGCGCCAGCCUCGGCGGUGGCAAGCGCUGUCCCCCAGCAGAGGUGUCCCUGGAUACAGUGGUUGAACUAGUUUACAGUCCCACCAACAACGUAAACGUAUUCCUAUUUCUCCACAUCCUCUCCGGCACCUGUUGUUUCCUAAGUCAGGAUAGCAAAACCUGAUCUCAUAAAACCUAGGUCACAAAGGACAGCCCUGCAAAACAGACCCUAUUUGGAUCAAGUGAACCAGUUCCUGGAACCUGAAUAAUGACUCCUGAAUCAAGGGAUACUACAGAUUUGUCUCCAGGGGGUACCCAGGAGAUGGAAGGCAUCGUGAUAGUGAAGGUGGAGGAGGAAGAUGAAGAAGACCAUUUUCAAAAGGAAAGAAACAAAGUAGAGUCAUCGCCACAAGUUCUCAGUCGCUCUACAACUAUGAAUGAGAGAGCCUUAUUAUCAUCGUAUUUAGUUGCAUAUAGAGUGGCAAAAGAGAAAAUGGCUCACACAGCGGCUGAAAAAAUUAUCCUUCCAGCAUGUAUGGACAUGGUACGGACAAUUUUUGAUGACAAAUCAGCUGAUAAACUAAGAACUAUACCUCUUAGUGAUAAUACAAUAUCUCGUCGAAUCUGUACGAUUGCAAAACAUUUGGAAGCAAUGCUUAUUACACGGCUGCAGUCCGGUAUAGACUUUGCAAUCCAACUCGAUGAGAGCACUGAUAUUGCAAGUUGUCCCACACUGUUGGUUUAUGUCAGAUAUGUGUGGCAAGAUGAUUUUGUAGAGGAUCUCUUAUGUUGUUUAAAUUUAAAUUCACAUAUAACUGGAUUAGAUUUAUUUACUGAAUUAGAAAACUGCCUUGUUGGUCAGUAUAAAUUAAACUGGAAACAUUGUAAAGGAAUUUCAAGUGAUGGAACAGCAAAUAUGACCGGAAAACACAGCAGACUUACUGAAAAAUUGUUAGAAGCAACCCUCAACAAUGCUGUUUGGAAUCACUGUUUUAUUCAUCGAGAAGCUUUGGUAUCCAAAGAAAUUUCACCAAGUCUAAUGGAUGUAUUGAAAAAUGCAGUGAAAAUUGUUAAUUUUAUUAAAGGAAGCUCACUGAAUAGCCGACUUCUCGAAAUAUUUUGUUCAGAGAUUGGAGUGAACCACACCCACUUAUUGUUUCAUACAGAAGUUCGUUGGCUUUCUCAAGGAAAAGUAUUGAGCAGAGUAUAUGAACUCAGGAACGAGAUUUACAUUUUUCUCGUUGAAAAGCAAUCUCAUUUGGCAAAUAUUUUUGAAGAUGACAUUUGGGUAACAAAAUUGGCAUAUUUAAGUGAUAUUUUUGGCAUUCUUAAUGAAUUAAGCCUGAAAAUGCAGGGGAAAAACAAUGAUAUAUUUCAGUAUCUUGAACAUAUUCUAGGAUUCCAAAAGACGUUAUUAUUGUGGCAAGCAAGACUUAAAAGUAACCGCCCUAGCUACUAUAUGUUUCCAACAUUAUUG